GCCAUUAUGUUUCUCUCAUCAUAUAUAUGGUCGUGUUGCACAUACUAUGAUAAGGAUGUCAUAUUUGAGGAGGACGAGGAUGAGGAUGAGGCGUAUUUUUUUGUCGGACAAAGUACACCACGCAAUAGUAAAAAUAUUCUUUCACAAACUUUCUUUCGGUGCAUAAGACAUCAAAAUUUUGUCCGAAGACGACGAGGAAGGAACCGACAUCGAGCAUAAUCUCGACACAGAUGAGCAAGAGAAUAGUGAGCCUGAGGCCCCAGAUCCGUACGACUGGGUCUAUGCUAAUGUUGUCAGAGUCGCACAUACAAGGAGUAAGUAUUACACUUCUGACUCCAUAUGAAAAUAACAUAUGUUAAUCUGCAAGCAACAGGUGCACCAAGAUAGAAAUGACACAUGUGCUUAUUCAAACAAGGUAAAAAAACACAUCAUAAAAGGGAACAUAGUAAAUUUUAUUUCUUUACUAGAUAUAAGUGCAUUGAUACAUUUGAAAUCAC
rnacentral:lncRNA from 1 species